rnacentral:rRNA from 1 species
GAAGGUGGCAAGCGUUGUUCGGAUUUACUGGGCGUACGGGGAGCGUAGGCGGUUCGGUAAGCCCUCUGUGAAAUCUCCAGGCUUAACCUGGAACAGUCGGAGGGGACUGCUGGGCUAGAGGACGGGAGAGGAGCGCGGAAUUCCCGGUGUAGCGGUGAAAUGCGUAGAGAUCGGGAGGAAGGCCGGUGGCGAAGGCGGCGCUCUGGAACGUUUCUGACGCUGAGGCUCGAAAGCGUGGGGAGCAAACAGGAUUAGAUACCCUGGUAGUCCACGCCUUAAACUAUGAAUACUAAGUGUCGGCGGUUUACCGCCKGUGCCGCAKCUWACGCAUUAAGUAUUCCGCCUGGGAAGUACKGYCGCAAGGUUG